rnacentral:tRNA from 1 species
CUGGGUGUGGCUCAGUGGGAAAGCAUCUGUCUGGCAUACAAAAGCCCUGAGUUCAAACCCCAACACACACA